rnacentral:tRNA from 1 species
GCGGACGUAGCUCAGUUGGUAGAGCGUCGGCUUCCCAAGCCGAAGGUCAUGGGUUCGAGCCCCGUCGUCCGCU